GAUGAAGAACGCAGCGAAAUGCGAUAAGUAAUGUGAAUUGCAGAAUACAGUGAAUCAUCGAAUCUUUGAACGCACAUUGCGCCCGCCAGUAUUCUGGCGGGCAUGCCUGUUCGAGCGUCAUUUCAACCAUCAAGCCCCCGGCUUGUGUUGGGGACCUGCGGCUGCCGCAGGCCCUGAAAAGCAGUGGCGGGCUCGCUGUCACACCGAGCGUAGUAGCAUACAUCUCGCUCUGGGCGUGCUGCGGGUUCCGGCCGUUAAACCACCUUCAUAACCCAAGGUUGACCUCGGAUCAGGUAGGAAGACCCGCUGAACUUAAGCAUAUCAAUAAGCGGAGGA
rnacentral:misc_RNA from 1 species